GAGGCCCGGGACCCCCACCGUGAGUCCCAAGCGUGUGUGCGAGACCAGAUGGCGCUAGGACGUUCCCUGUGUGCGUUGCUUCUGUAAAUGCAGGCGCCGUGUGUCGUGUUUCCAAACCAGUUGUGCCGUCCACUCACUCCUUUCCAGAAUAGAAAUCUCUUCUCGCUUCUCUGGCCUUGUGAGGGUGGGACAACUGGAAGAUUCUGACUCAGGAAUCCAGAACCAGGUCUACCUUCAACAUUUACGCAGUCAGGCCAGGGAUGUUUAUAUCUUUCAUAAGGGCUGUUGAAACCAUAUGAACUGAAAAAAAGCACUUUCUCAUCCAAAUAUUGAUAUUCUUUACACCAGGCCAUCGGGCUCCUUUUAUCCGAUAGCAUUCAGAGUAUUUGAAGGUCCUCCAGGUGCCAGCCUUGGGGGCACAGGGAGAACAACAUUCCUCUCCGAAAACAUCGGGAAGCUUUAAAAUAACUGUUUAGUGGAGACUUACCCAGAGAUGUAAAACAGGUUUCUGGGUGGCGUGGCCUGAGCUAUGAAAAACCUGCCUCAUGAAUAUGCAAAUGCACUGGUGUCUACCGAGGUAAAUACAGAUCUGUCCUUGCCCAGAGAGCAUCACACAACAGCCACCUCCCUCCCCUACAGAAGCCCCCAGAGCGCAGCACCUCACCAUGGACUGCACCUGGAGGAUCCUCCUCUUGGUGGCAGCAGCUACAGGCGCCCGCGCCGAGGUCCAGCUGGUACAGUCCGGGGCUGAGGUGAAGAAGCCUGGGGCCUCAGUGAAGGUCUCCUGCAAGGUUUCCGGAUACACCCUCACCGAAUUAUCCAUGCACUGGGUGCGACAGGCUCCUGGAAAAGGGCUUGAGUGGAUGGGAGGUUUUGAUCCUGAAGAUGGUGAAACAAUAUACGCACAGAAGUUCCAGGGCAGAGUCACCAUGACCGAGGACACAUCUACAGACACAGCCUACAUGGAGCUGAGCAGCCUGAGACCUGAGGACACGGCCGUGUAUUACUGUGCAACAGACACAGUGUGAAAACCCACAUCCUGACAGUGUCAGAAACCCUGAGGAAGGAGGCAGCUGUGCUGGGGCUGAGGAGAUGACAGGAUUUAUGAAGUUUAAAUCUGUUUAGAAAAUGGGUUGAGUAAUUGAGUAAAACAGCAAUGGAAAGAUGUGUAUACUAUCAUUAUGUAGGAAAUAGUAUUUUCAACUGUCACCCUGUAAGUAACACUCACAGAGUGGGAAAGGCAGCCAUCAAUCAAGCUGAUGCAAACAUUCCCAUGGAGGCUUUGUGGGGACAUACAUUUUAAAAUUGGAUGUAUAAAUCAUUAGAAACAGGAUUGCUUGAUCUCAUGGUAAGACUAAAUAUAAUUUCCAAGAAGUGGCCGAAAUUUCUUCCAAAAUGUCUUUGCCCUUCCUUUUACAUUGAAUUUAUUUUAAAGGAGUUUUAGGAUCGCAGCAAGUUUGAGUAGAAGAAACAGAGUUCCCAUGCACUC